rnacentral:rRNA from 1 species
AUAUUCUGUAGCAAGGUUAACCGUAUAGGGGAGCCGUAGGGAAACCGAGUCUUAACCGGGCGUUAAGUUGCAGGGUAUAGACCCGAAACCCGGUGAUCUAGCCAUGGGCAGGUUGAAGGUUGGGUAACACUAACUGGAGGACCGAACCGACUAAUGUUGAAAAAUUAGCGGAUGACCUGUGGCUGGGGGUGAAAGGCCAAUCAAACCGGGAGAUAGCUGGUUCUCCCCGAAAGCUAUUUAGGUAGCGCCUCGUGAAUUCAUCUCCGGGGGUAGAGCACUGUUUCGGCUAGGGGGCCAUCCCGGCUUACCAACCCGAUGCAAACUGCGAAUACCGGAGAAUGUUAUCACGGGAGACACACGGCGGGUGCUAACGUCCGUCGUGAAGAGGGAAACAACCCAGACCGCCAGCUAAGGUCCCAAAGUCAUGGUUAAGUGGGAAACGAUGUGGGAAGGCCCAGACAGCCAGGAUGUUGGCUUAGAAGCAGCCAUCAUUUAAAGAAAGCGUAAUAGCUCACUGGUCGAGUCGGCCUGCGCGGAAGAUGUAACGGGGCUAAACCAU